UUUAUGGAGAGUUUGAUCCUGGCUCAGGAUAAACGCUGGCGGCGUGCCUAAUACAUGCAAGUCGAGCGAACGGACGAGAAGCUUGCUUCUCUGAUGUUAGCGGCGGACGGGUGAGUAACACGUGGAUAACCUACCUAUAAGACUGGGAUAACUUCGGGAAACCGGAGCUAAUACCGGAUAAUAUUUUGAACCGCAUGGUUCAAAAGUGAAAGACGGUCUUGCUGUCACUUAUAGAUGGAUCCGCGCUGCAUUAGCUAGUUGGUAAGGUAACGGCUUACCAAGGCAACGAUGCAUAGCCGACCUGAGAGGGUGAUCGGCCACACUGGAACUGAGACACGGUCCAGACUCCUACGGGAGGCAGCAGUAGGGAAUCUUCCGCAAUGGGCGAAAGCCUGACGGAGCAACGCCGCGUGAGUGAUGAAGGUCUUCGGAUCGUAAAACUCUGUUAUUAGGGAAGAACAUAUGUGUAAGUAACUGUGCACAUCUUGACGGUACCUAAUCAGAAAGCCACGGCUAACUACGUGCCAGCAGCCGCGGUAAUACGUAGGUGGCAAGCGUUAUCCGGAAUUAUUGGGCGUAAAGCGCGCGUAGGCGGUUUUUUAAGUCUGAUGUGAAAGCCCACGGCUCAACCGUGGAGGGUCAUUGGAAACUGGAAAACUUGAGUGCAGAAGAGGAAAGUGGAAUUCCAUGUGUAGCGGUGAAAUGCGCAGAGAUAUGGAGGAACACCAGUGGCGAAGGCGACUUUCUGGUCUGUAACUGACGCUGAUGUGCGAAAGCGUGGGGAUCAAACAGGAUUAGAUACCCUGGUAGUCCACGCCGUAAACGAUGAGUGCUAAGUGUUAGGGGGUUUC
rnacentral:rRNA from 1 species